GAGAGCGGGGCUGAAAGUGCCGGGGGUAAAUUGUGCCGUCGCGAAUAUCUCAAAAACAGAAAGAGAUAGAUAUACGAUCGUAUUGUGUCGCGUAAGGCCUAACAGUCGCGCACACGCGGCUGCCAUUUUAGUUGCGUCAGCGACGCGGACCGAGUCGUACUGCAUGUGAGGGUCCUCCAGCGCCACUAUUGUUUAUAUUUACGCGAGCAAUUAUGAAAGAAAGAAAAUACUUUUGGACAUAUUUAUAAAGUCAAAUUAUAUGGGCAGCAAUGUUGAGAUUGAGACUAGUCCAUCAAUACUACAGGAACAUCCUGGGCCAAGCGACUGCAGCGUUGAGUGUACAAGAGCACCAUCAGGUAAUCAAGAGCAAGAGACACGUCAGUGCUCUCCGGAACCUAUCCCUUGCUGCAGUUUCCAGCCUCCUCAAUCAGUUGAUAAUAACACAGGAGAUAAAAAUGCAGCAGUUUUCUCACCAGAGCUAAUAAGACCACUGCCUAAAGCACCUCCCCGACUAAUUGGACAUACUAAAGCACGUAAAAGAAAGACAGCUGUUCUUACGGACACUCCAGAGAAAAAUGCUUUAGCGGAAGAACAGGCUAGUAAAAAGAAGAAAAAAGAAAGCGAAACUAAAAAGAAGGUUAAGGGAAAAGGGACGGGAAAAUGCAAGGGAAA